rnacentral:lncRNA from 1 species
CAACUUUGCUAUCUUAGAACGGAUCACCAGUGAAAGAGGGGAAGUUGCUACUGUGAUGAAUUCUGCCAUGUGGUACCAGACUGCUGCCCAGACCACAGUGUCCUCUGCAACCCUGGUAACUCACAUACAGGCCUGAUUCCACCUACAGCAAAGCUGGAUGCUAUGGUUGGCAGAGGCAAGCCCCUUGCCUGCACUUCAGGCCAAAGCCGGGAUGUGGCCUAGAUGGUUCCUAAGGUCCCUGACAGUCCUGAGAUCUUUCAUCUUGUCUAUUUCAGGUCAAAGCUUCUCAGAUGACCAAGAUGGUGCUGCCGAUGGUGUUGAGGACGGAGAACCCACCAAGCCCCGUUAGGAGCCACCUAGACUGGAUGCAGAGCACAGCCCAUCAGAAACUCAAAAGAAUGCUACCUUUGUCUCUCACCCACCUGUGCCCUGGAAGCUUUCUCCUGGCUUCAAGUUGUCCCACCUUUGCUUGGCAUUGCCCUGCCUUUUCCAGACUGAACAAAUGUUCAUCUUACAUAUGUUGAUUGAUGUCUCAUGUCUCCCUAAAACAUAUGAAAUCAAGCUGUGCUCUGACCACCUUGGCACAUGUCGUCAGGACCUCCUGAGGCUGUGUCAC